rnacentral:rRNA from 1 species
AUACGGAGGGCGCAAGCGUUGUUCGGAAUCAUUGGGCGUAAAGCGCGUGUAGGCGGCUUGGUAAGUCGGGUGUGAAAUCCCGGGGCUCAACCCCGGAACUGCACUCGAAACUGCCUCGCUGGAGUCCCGGAGAGGAGAGCGGAAUUCCCGGUGUAGAGGUGAAAUUCGUAGAUAUCGGGAGGAACACCAGCGGCGAAGGCGGCUCUCUGGACGGUGACUGACGCUGAGGUGCGAAAGCGUGGGGAGCAAACAGGAUUAGAAACCCCGGUAGUCC